GACGAACGCUGGCGGCGUGCUUAACACAUGCAAGUCGAACGGAAAGGCCUUUUCGGAGGUACUCGAGUGGCGAACGGGUGAGUAACACGUGGGUGAUCUGCCCUGCACUCUGGGAUAAGCCUGGGAAACUGGGUCUAAUACCGGAUAGGACCGCACUUUAGUGUGUGUGGUGGAAAGUUUUUUCGGUGUAGGAUGAGCCCGCGGCCUAUCAGCUUGUUGGUGGGGUAAUGGCCUACCAAGGCGGCGACGGGUAGCCGGACGGAGAGGUUGGUCGGCCACAUUGGGACUGAGAUACGGCCCAGACUCCUACGGGAGGCAGCAGUGGGGAAUAUUGCACAAUGGGCGCAAGCCUGAUGCAGCGACGCCGCGUGGGGGAUGACGGCCUUCGGGUUGUAAACUCCUUUCGCCAGGGACGAAGCGUUUUGUGACGGUACCUGGAGAAGAAGCACCGGCUAACUACGUG
rnacentral:rRNA from 1 species